GUUAAUUGUAGUCGAGAGGUAAAGACACUUGGCUCUCACCCCAGAAUCUCGGGUUCGAUCUCCGGUCGAGAAACU